GUGACAAGGGAUUAAGAGCCCAGGACGUGAGAGCAGAAACAGGAAAUCCAGGACUCUGGCCAUGUCUCCAAAGGAGGCCCCUGCAACACACGGGUGGGCUGGCUGCCAGGGCUGGCAGAAGGAGAUGUGUGCUGGAAAUAAACGAGGAGCUGUUUGCUUACAGAUCUUCCCCACCACCUCAUGGUCCCUGGAGAUGUGAGCAAGCAGCCCUGUAGCUACCACAGAUGGGAGCUGG
rnacentral:lncRNA from 1 species